rnacentral:lncRNA from 1 species
UGUAGAACAGGGGUGUUUGUCUCGGUUCCUGUUGUCUCAGUUGUGAAACUCCAAGUAUGGGCUUCAGAAAGUACCAGUGUCAACUCUCCCUAACUCUUUCCCUUCGGUCGACUACUACUUGUUUCAAGACAGCUUGAAGGGUGGGGCUGUAACUCAGGUAGAGCACUUGCCCAGCAUGUGUAAAACCUUGGGCUCAACCCCUAGCAUUAUGAAAACAAAAAGAAUUUGGCUCAUUUUUUUUCCCCAUGGGACCUAAACCCACCCACCCCCAUGCACACACACUGGCUUUACUUUUCUUUUAUGAGGAUGUGAAAUAUAUACUUGGUUUUGAAAGUCACAACAAAAGGAGAAACCCAGGAGAGAGUGUUCUCUUCCUACUCUUGUCAUUUCUGAGCUGAGCCAGCUCAUCUUUUUUGUCACAGAUCCCAGCAUGGUCAGCGCCUACAUGUACCCAGCAGGUGCCCCUGGGGCACAGGCAGCCCCUCAGGCCCAGGCCGGGCCCACCACCAACCCUGCCUACUCCUCGUACCAGCCUACUCCAACCCCAGGCUACCAGGUAUGUGGGCAACGUCUCCCCCCUCAUCUGCACCCAGCCUUCACCUGUUCCCUCACCUCACCCCCUUCCUUCUCUUAGAAUGUGGCUUCUCAGGCCCCACAGAGCCUCCCAGCCAUCUCCCAGCCUCCACAGACCAGCAACAUUGGCUACAUGGGGAGCCAGCCAAUGUCCAUGGGCUACCAGCCAUACAACAUGCAGGUAAAGAGACCUAGUCUUUUCUGGGCAUGGAGGGGUGUCACAGACAGGUCCUCUCCUCCUGGCUCUCACUUUGCUUUCUUCCAGCCAGGAGGGUCUGUUUCUGUCUGGUCACAGAUUACUCAGUGUUGGGCUCCAUCUUACUUCCCACAGAAUCUCAUGACCACCCUUCCAGGCCAGGAUGCGUCUCUGCCAGCCCAGCAGCCCUACAUCACAGGGCAGCAGCCCAUGUACCAGCAGGUGAGCCUCUCCCAGCCGGCCAGGGGCUCAGCAGACAGAAUGACGAUGUGCCUUCAAUG